rnacentral:misc_RNA from 1 species
GAUGAAGAACGUAGCGAAAUGCGAUAAGUAAUGUGAAUUGCAGAAUUCAGUGAAUCAUCGAAUCUUUGAACGCACCUUGCGCUCUUUGGUAUUCCGAAGAGCAUGCCUGUUUGAGUGUCAUGAAAAUAUCAACCUUGACUUGGGUUUUGUGCUCUAGUCUCGGCUUGGAAUUGGGUGCUUGCCGCUUUUACGAGCGGCUCACCUUAAAUGUAUUAGCUGGAUCUGUCUUUGAGACUUGGUUUGACUUGGCGUAAUAAGUAUUUCGCUAAGGACAUUCUUCGGAGUGGCCUCGUUUCUAGGACGCUUGUCCGCUUUCCAAUACAAGUUCCACCUCGUGGACAUGACUUUUUAUUAUCUGGCCUCAAAUCAGUAGGACUACCCGCUGAACUUAAGCAUAUCAAUAAGCGGAGGA